GGAGAUGCCUUUGGACUUAGGCCCAGCUC
rnacentral:piRNA from 1 species